GACGAACGCUGGCGGCGUGCUUAACACAUGCAAGUCGAACGGGCCUUGUCCCCUUUUUUUUGGGGGUGGGGUUAGUGGCGAACGGGUGAGUAACACGUGAGUAACCUGCCCCUCACUUCUGGAUAACCGCUUGAAAGGGUGGCUAAUACGGGGUGAUCUGGCCUGCUCGCAUGGGUGGGUUUGGAAAGAUUCGACCGGUUUUGGUUGUUUUGGUGGGGGAUGGGCUCGCGGCCUAUCAGCUUGUUGGUGGGGUGAUGGCCUGCCAAGGCUUUGACGGGUAGCCGGCCUGAGAGGGUGGGCGGUCACACUGGGACUGAGACACGGCCCAGACUCCUACGGGAGGCAGCAGUGGGGAAUAUUGCACAAUGGGCGCAAGCCUGAUGCAGCGACGCCGCGUGAGGGAUGGAGGCCUUCGGGUUGUGAACCUCUUUCGCCAGUGAAGAAGGUCCUGCUCUUUGUGGUGGGGUUGACGGUAGCUGGGUUAAUGAAGCGCCGGCUAACUACGUG
rnacentral:rRNA from 1 species